GACUGCUUCAGUAGCCUAGUGGUUAGAGUGCCCGCCUCGGAUUCGGGAGGUCAUGGGUUCAAUCCCGGGUAGAGUCA